rnacentral:rRNA from 1 species
GAUGAACGCUGGCGGCGUGCCUAAUACAUGCAAGUAGAACGCUGAAGGAGGAGCUUGCUCUUCUGGAUGAGUUGCGAACGGGUGAGUAACGCGUAGGUAACCUGCCUGGUAGCGGGGGAUAACUAUGGGAAACGAUAGCUAAUACCGCAUGACAACAGUUAUUGCAUGAUAACUGUUUAAAAGGGGCAACUGCUCCACUACCAGAUGGACCUGCGUUGUAUUAGCUAGUUGGUGAGGUAACGGCUCACCAAGGCGACGAUACAUAGCCGACCUGAGAGGGUGAUCGGCCACACUGGGACUGAGACACGGCCCAGACUCCUACGGGAGGCAGCAGUAGGGAAUCUUCGGCAAUGGACGGAAGUCUGACCGAGCAACGCCGCGUGAGUGAAGAAGGUUUUCGGAUCGUAAAGCUCUGUUGUAAGAGAAGAACGAGUGUGAGAGUGGAAAGUUCACACUGUGACGGUAGCUUACCAGAAAGGGACGGCUAACUACGUG